CACGUAGGGGGCAAGCGUUGUCCGGAUUUAUUGGGCGUAAAGAGCUCGUAGGCGGUUCAGUAAGUCGGGUGUGAAAACUUUGGGCUUAACCCAAAGCGUGCAUCCGAUACUGCUGUGACUUGAGUUCGGUAGGGGAGUGGGGAAUUCCUAGUGUAGCGGUGAAAUGCGCAGAUAUUAGGAGGAACACCGGUGGCGAAGGCGCCACUCUGGGCCGAAACUGACGCUGAGGAGCGAAAGCAUGGGUAGCAAACAGG
rnacentral:rRNA from 1 species